GGGCCCGCACAAGCAGCGGAGCGUGUGGUUUAAUUCGAUGAUACGCGAAGAACCUUACCUGGGUUUGACAUAGGGGUAGUAGCGAGGUGAAAGCUAAGCGACCCUUCGGGGAGCCUCUACAGGUGCUGCAUGGCUGUCGUCAGCUCGUGUCGUGAGAUGUUGGGUUAAGUCCCGCAACGAGCGCAACCCUCGUCGUUAGUUACAAGUGUCUAACGAGACUGCUGGUAUCAAACCGGAGGAAGGUGGGGAUGACGUCAAGUCAGCAUGGUCUUUAUAUCCAGGGCUACACACACGCUACAAUGGUCGGUACAAUAGGUUGCCACACCGCGAGGUGGAGCUAAUCCUAAAAGCCGGUCUCAGUUCAGAUUGCAGUCUGCAACUCGACUGCAUGAAGGUGGAGUUGCUAGUAACCGCGCGUCAGCCAUAGUGCGGUGAAUGCGUUCCCGGGCCUU
rnacentral:rRNA from 1 species